UUACACAAUUUUAUUUAUAUGGCUUAAUAAAGUAUUAAUACUUCAGUAGCUGCCAAAAGCUUGUGGCAAAUACAGGACACACAAACCUUGUAUCACUGAGGCAGGAAAACCCAGCAGGCCUCAGAGCCAUGGAAAGGUGGAUUGCAGUCUCCACAGAUGUUGCAGGUGGGGGUCUCUGGCCUAGACUUGUUCUGAUCCAUGGUGAGUUUCCAGGCCCGGGAAUGGAGGCAGCCACUCGAGUUCCUUUCUUUUUCCUUGCUGCAUGUGGACAAACUGUCUGUGGCUGUCUCACUCUUACGCUCGUUCCUCAGGGCUGUGUCCCCUGAGAGACCGCUGAGGUCAUCGGUGUCCGAAUUGUGAGCACACUGCUCACAUUAUGCACAGGAUGAUGAAGAAGAUGCGUCCUCCUAGGCUGCCCCAGGAGCUGCAGCCCAGCAGGAGUCUCGGUGCUGAGGCCUGUGCUGAUCACCCGAGGCUUGGAAGAGGUAGCCCAGGAGAAAUUAAAGGAGAAGAAUUCAAGACUAGAAAAUUAGGUGGUCAGUGCAUGUCUCCGGUUCUCACCAUCAGCCUCUUCUGA
rnacentral:lncRNA from 1 species